GACGAACGCUGGCGGCGUGCUUAACACAUGCAAGUCGAACGGAAAGGCUCCAGCUUGCUGGAGUACUCGAGUGGCGAACGGGUGAGUAACACGUGGGUAAUCUGCCCUGCACUCUGGGAUAAGCCUGGGAAACUGGGUCUAAUACUGGAUAUGACCUUUCUCCUUAUGGGGUUUGGUGGAAAGUUUUUCGGUGUAGGAUGAGCCCGCGGCCUAUCAGCUUGUUGGUGGGGUGAUGGCCUACCAAGGCGACGACGGGUAGCCGGCCUGAGAGGGUGAUCGGCCCCAUUGGGACUGGGAUACGGCCCAGACUCCUACGGGAGGCAGCAGUGGGGAAUAUUGCACAAUGGGCGGAAGCCUGAUGCAGCGACGCCGCGUGGGGGAUGACGGCCUUCGGGUUGUAAACCUCUUUCAGCAGGGACGAAGCGUAAGUGACGGUACCUGCAGAAGAAGCACCGGCUAACUAUGU
rnacentral:rRNA from 1 species